rnacentral:lncRNA from 1 species
UUUUCUUUUUUGGUGGUAUCUCUGUCUGGUUUUGGGAUGAGGGUGAUGGUGGCAUCAUAGAAUGUCUUUGGGAAUAUUCCUUCUUCUUCAACCUUUUGAAAGAGUUUAAAGAGGAUGGGCACCAGUUUCUCUUUAUAUGUUUGACAGAAUUCGCCUGUGAUGCCAUCUGGUCCUGGACUUUUAUUUGUAGGGAGUGUUUUUAUGACCUCUUCAAUUUCAUUUCUAGUGAUUAGUCUGUUCAGUUGGUCUGUUUCUUCUUGAUUCAGUUUUGGCAGGCUGUAAGAUCCUUGAAAAUUGUCCAUUUCUUCCAGAUCGUCAAAUUUGUUGGCAUAUAGAUGUUCAUAGCAUUCUCUUAUGGUUUUUUUAUUUCUGCAGUAUCUGUUGUGAUUUCUCCUUUUUCAUUUAUAAUUUUGGUUAUUUGGGUUCUUUCUCUCCUCUUUUUAGUGAGUCUGGCCAGGGGUUUGUCAAUUUUGUUCACCUUUUCAAAGAACCAGCUCUUGGUUUUAUUAAUUUUCUCUAUUGUUUUUUGAGUCUCUAUUUUAUUGAUUUCUUCUUUGAUCUUUAUAAUUUCCUUCCUUCUGCUGACUUUAGGACUUUUUUGUUCUUCUUUUUCUAAUUCGUUUAGUUGGAGGGUUAAGUUGUCAAUUUGGGAUCUUUCUUCUUUUUUGAGAAAGGCCUGUAUUGCUAUAAAUUUCCCUCUGGAAGCACUGCUUUCACAGCAUCCCAUAGAUUUUGAAAGGUUUUGCCUUCAUUAUCAUUUGUUUCAAGGUAUUUUUUAAUUUCCUUCUUGAUAUCCUCAUUGACCCAUUGGUUUUUUAGAGCAUGUUGUUUAGUCUCCAUGGAGUAGGUUUUUUCUCUUUCCUUUUCCCAUGGUUGAUUUCUAAUUUCACAGCAUUGUGGUCAGAGAAGAUACUUGAGAUAAUUUCUAUGCUCCUAAAUUUAUUGAGAUUAGCUUUGUGUCCCAAUAUCAAAAAACAGAUUUGAGAAGGGAGAACGAAGAAUUAAUGAACUGGAAGACAAGUCAGUUAAAAUUAUUAAAUCUGAGGAACAGCAAGAACAAAAAAGCAUGAAGAAAAGUGAAGAGAGCCAAAGGACUUUGUGGAAUGCCAAAAUAUCAAAGUAUAAUAUUAUGGGAAUCCCAAAAAGGAGAAGAUAGAAAAGACAAAAAAAAUUAUUUCAAGAAAUGUUUGGCUGAAAAGUUCUCACAGUUAAUGAAAUACAUGAAUAUAUAAAUCCAAGAAUCUCAAUUAACUCCAAGUAUGAUAAAGCAAAAUAAAUAUUAAUACAUAAUGUCAAACUGAAACAUUAAAAUCCAACUACUGAAAGACAAAGAGACAAUUUGGAAAGCAUAAAGAAAAAAGAAAAUUUUUAUGUAUAAGGGAUCUUCAGUAUGAUUACAAGCUGAUUUCUUAUCAGAAAUAUAGGAAGUCAGAAAACAAUGGGAUGAUAUAUUUAAUGUACUGGAGAAAAAAGUAUUAACUGAUAGCAAGUAUUAUUAUUAACUUUAAUCUGUGACUUCAUUGUAUUUUCAACAGAAUUUAAAUGACACAUGAACAAAAGUCAAAUAUAACUCUAUUUGCACACAAUAUACAUAAAAGUUUUAAUUUGUGAUAUUAAUAACAUAAGGAGGGAGAUGGGGUUUUAUAGCAGUAAAAAUUCUAUAUGCAGUUAAAUUUAAGACAGUAUCUAUUGAAAUUAGAUAGCCAUUACUUUGGGAUAGUGUAUUGAUUACUUGUGUAAUCACAAAGAAUACGUCUCAAAAAUAUAGAUAAAAUGAGAAUAAAAUUGAAAUGCAUCAGCAUAAAAAUUCAAUCACAAAAAAGGUAGAAAUUGAGGAACUGAGGGCCAAGAAAUUUGAGACAUAAGGAAAACAAAGAGGCAAAAGCAGAAGUUCUUUCUUUUCAAUUUCAUUGAAUAUAAAUUAAACUCACCAAUCAAAAGGCAUAUAUUAGAAAAAUGGAUUAAAAAAUAACAUGAUCAAACUAUAAGAUGUCUACAAGGUACUUGAUUUUAAUAUAAAGACACACACUGUCUAAAAGUGAAAAGAUGGGAAAACAUAGUUCAUGGAAAUAAUAAUCACAGGAACGCUGGAGUGUCUAUACUAAUAUCAGACCAAAAUAGACUUUAAGUCAAAAACUGUCACAAGAGGUAAAUAAGUACAUUAUAUAUUGAUAAAAAGAUCAAUUUACCAAGAAAACAUAACACACAUACACUCAUGCACCAAAAAUCAGAAAUCAAAAUUAUAUGAAGCAAACAUUAACGGAAUUGAAAAGAAAAAUAAAUAGUUGUGGUAGAGGACUUGAAUAACAACACAAACCAAAAAGAGAGAUGACUCAAAUUACUAAAUACUAGGGGCAUAUUGUAAACCUUAAAGAUUUUUUUAAUUUUAUGAGAAUACUAUGAAAAAAAAUUGUAUGCCACCAUAGUAAAUAACAGACAAUUGAAAAAAAUUUCUUUAAUAAAAACUAGCAGAAGUGAUUCAGGAAGAAAUAGUAAAUAUAAAAUAAGGUAUAAUAAGAAAUUAAGUCAUUAAUCAAAAACCCAUAACAAAGAAAACCUAAGGAUCAACUGGCUUCACAUGUGAAUUCUGCCAAAAAUGUAAAGAAAAUUAACAUUGAUACUUCUCAAAUGCUUCCAAGAAAUAUGGGGAGAGAACACUAAGUGUUAAGAAACAAUGUUAAGAAACUCAGUCUAUGAGGCCAAUAUUCUUCUGAAAACAAAAUAAAUACAUCAGAAGAAAAUAAAACUCCAACUAAGAGCCCUUAUGAAUAUUAAAGCAAGAACCCUCAACAAAAUACUAGCAAAACAAAUUCAGCAGCAUUUCAAAGACUUUACAGAUGAAGACAAAGUGGAAUUACUCCCCAGAACACAAUAAUUAUUGAAACAAAAAAUAACUCAAUGUAAUAUGCUAAGAGAAUAGGGGUGUAUGAAAAACACAAUUAUCUCAAAUGCAGAACAACAUCUGAAGAAGUUUAACACUCUCUCAUAAUAAAAACAUGCAACAAACUAGGAAUAGAAGGAAACUUACUUAAAAAAAAUUACAUGAAAAACCCACAGGUACCAUCAGAGUCAAGAUCAGACAUGAGAUAAUUAUUCCUAUUUUUUUCACUUUUAUUAAAAACUAUUGAAAGUUCUACCUAGACCAAUUAUGCAAAUUAAAUAAAUAAAACACAUUCAAAUUGGAAAAGAAAAAGUAAAACCCUAUUUCCUUAAGACACAAUCUUAUAUAGAGAAAACCCUGAGGAAUUCACAAAAAGACUAUUAAUACUGAUAUGUGAACACAGAAAAGUUGCAGGAUACAAGAUGUAUACUCAAAAAUCAGUUGUAUUUCUAUGGGAGUUCCUGUCAUGGCUCAGAGGAAACGAAUCUGACUAGUAUCCAUGAGGAUGCAGGUUUAAUCCCAGGCCUUGCUCAAUGGUUUAAGGAUCUGGCUGUGCCGUGAGCUGUGGUGUAGGUCAAAGACACAGUUCAGAUCCAAUGUUGCUAUGGCUGUGUUGUAGGCUGCCAGCUAGAGCUCUGAUUCAACCCCUAACCUGGGAACUUCCCUAAGCUGGGGGUGUGGCCCUAAAAAAAAAAAAAAAAAAAAAAAAAUCAGCUGUACUUCUAAGCACUGCAAUGAAAAAUCCAAAAAUAAAGUUAAGAAAGAAUCCUUUUUACAAACACAUAAAACAGAAAAAAAAAACUUAAAAAUACAAUUAAACAAGGAGGUGCAAGACUUGUUCACUGAAAAUUACAAAACAUUGCUGAAAGAAAUUAGAGAAUUAACUAAAUAGAAAGUACUCCAUGCUAUGGAUUAGAAGGUUUAAUGUUUUUAGGAUGUCAGUUCCACCGAAAUCUAUCUAUAGAUUUAAAGUAAUCCCUAUCAAAUUCCUAAUAAUAUUGUCUAUGCAUAUACAGAAAAACACAUUUUAAAAUUUAUAUGUAAUCUCAAGGGCCUCCAAAGAGUCAAAAACAAUUUCAGAAAAAAGCUGUAUUCUCAUACUUCCUAUUUUCAAAACUUACUACAAAGCCACAGUAAUCAAAACAAUGUGGUACUGAAACAUAGUCAUAAAUAGAUCAAUGGACUAUAGUAAAGAGACUAGAAAUAAAUCUGAUACAUAUAGUCAAGUAAUUUUAACAUGAGUUCCAAAACCACUUAAUAGGGAAAUAAUAGUCACUUCAAUGAAAGGUAGAGAGAAAACUGGAUAUC